GGGACGUCCCCCUCCUCCCUGCUUCCCUUUGCUCCCGGACUCCCAGGGACUUCUGGAAGAUUCCUGGACACCCCCACCCGCGCCCCAGGUCCGCAGCUGCUGCACAAGCCACACUUCCCACACUGCCUGUGGGUGACUCCAUGGAUACGGAAUGUGCAGGAGAAAGAGCCAGGCAUGCGGAAGCCGAGUGGGAGACCGUCUGGGGCAUAUCUGCAUUUCCGGGGUGAUGAAGGCUCUGCGAGCAGGCAGCGGGGAGCUUAUGGAGCCUCAUGAACAGAGUGGAAAAGCUCUAAGUUUCACACUGUAAAAGGAUAAACGUUAUGUAUCCUGUGUUUCCUUAAAACUGUUCUAUAAACUAUGUAAUCCUAUGGAUAUGCUUGUAUAAGUAUUCAGAGAUGGAAAUUAAUAUUACACACCAAUUGCUAUUUAUAAAAAAGCCUAGAAACAAAAUACCCACAAAUAAUAUCUGCACAGAUAAAUUAUAGUGUAUUCACCAAAAAUGAAAUGUUUCAAGGCUGUUAAAAGAGUGAAAUUAAUGCAUGCUUGGUAAUAUUGAAAAAUUUCAAUAUAAUACACUAAAUAAAAUUAUUUUAGCAUAUUUUCUACUAAUUCUAAUGAACACAUCAAUUGUAAGUUGUUUUAUAGUAAAUAAUUAUUUUAUGACUUUGGUUUGUAUGUUUCCCAACUCUGAUCAGGCCUGGUAAAUUUAUUAGGAUAACAACAUAUGGAAUUUCAUUCUUUGGCUCUGAAUUUUACUGUAUUCCUUUAAAUACUAUUGACCUUUGUUCGGGGACCCACAUUUUUGGAAAUGGAUUCUGUCGGUUCUUACUUUUAAAGCGCUCUCGCGCGCGUGCGCGUGCGUGCGUGCGUGCGUGUGUGUGUGUGUGUACUGCUUACCACUCUAAGCCUAAGUCUCCCAUUACCAAGGGGAGACAGCCCCCCAUGCACCGCAGCACAUCCCAGGGGAGCUGAGCUGCCAGCCUGGCCCCUGGCCUCGGGCACUGCCCUGGCCCCUGUGAGUGUCCAUCACCCUCACCGCUCCUCUCUCCUGUCUCCAGCCCUGGCCAGUUUCCUCCCUCCUCUGCUCCUCAGUGAUCCGCUGAGCUGAGCCCAGCUCCUGCCCCGCGCAGCUCUGGUCCUCUGAUGUGGGCACUGCCAGCCACAGCUUUCUCUCCUCAUCUCCUCAGUCAGGGGGCCUCUGCCUCAGUUUACAGCCCUGAGCCGUGGCUGGAAAUGCUUUCCAGGCAGGCAGCGGGGAAUCAUGGACAUCAGCUGCAGCAGUGCCUGAUGCCAGGGGCCCGGACUCCUGGAAGGAUACCUGUUAUCAGCUGCCUGGUACAAAUAUCAUACAAAACGUUUUGUGUAUUUUCCUGUGUCUUUAUUCUUUCAGACGAGGGGACAGUGCAACAUUUAUGUGAUCACAGUCUGAGCACUUAUUUGUGUGUGCACUUAUUUUAAGGCCGGUUCUUCCCUUGCCCAGGCUGGCCUUGGUCUGAUGAUCCAGCACCCUCAGCUGUGGAGCUGCUGCCAUGCC
rnacentral:lncRNA from 1 species